GUUGUCCGUUAUGCCACCAAAUCCUACUUCCUAAGUAUCUCUUGAAUUUGCCUGCUUCUGUCAUCUUCCUGUUGCUAUUGUCUGAGCCACUUGGAAUAGAGCUGCAGUCUUGUAGCUGCUCUUUUAGCUUCUGUCUUGUGGUAUCCGUUUUCCACACAAAAUCCAAAGUAUUUUUUCUGGCAUUCAAAUCUGUUCAUUUGAAGUAUUCAAACUCUUAAAAUCCAUUCAGUGGUUUUCCCAUCACCUUCUGGAUGAAUACAAAUUUCUUAACAUGACUGACAACCUUACUUUGCAAAGUGUGGUCAACAGCAGCCUUGCUAUCACCCAGGCACUUGAAAGAAGUGCAGACUAUCAGGUCCCAGCCCACACCUGCUCUUAGUAUGUGUUCUAACAAAAUGCCCAGGCAAGUCCUAAAGUUAGAGAAACACAAUUGAGGAGACUAUUUUUUGAACUCUCCUUCUGCCCUUCAACUCCCUGACCUUUUAUCUCGAAGUCCCCUCCUUCAAGCUCGUACUGUCCCAGCAACUUGGGGCGUGAGAACACCGCGCUGUGUCUUGCCUCUGAGCCUUCACAGUUGCUCCUUCUCUGCCUACAGUGCUCUUUCUAUUCCCCCAGCGCUGUUGACCUCGCUGACUUACUGAUCUUUCAGAUCCCUAUUUAGUUAUCUCCUCCUUCAUGAAACCUUUCUGAGUCCUUUCUAAGAGUAGGGGAGCUACCCCUUCUGUAUGCUACCCUCCAGCCUGCACUUAGGCCCACUGUGAUGCUUCAUAUUUCAGACGUCUUUUUUAUAGACAAAAUCUCACACAUUAGGCUGUACGCUCUUUUAAGGACAGGGACUCUGCUUUGGUCUCUACUACAGUUAUCUCUUGAACAACAUGGUUUGAAUUACCCAGGUCCACUUAGAUGUCAAUCUUUUUCAGUAGUCGGUACUACAAGACCACACAAUCCACAGUUUGUUGAAUCUGCAGUUACCGAGGAAGCUAGAAAUGGAGGAACCACAGGUGAAGGUACAAGUAAGAAGCUGGCGAAACAUAGAGCUGCAGAGGCUGCCAUAAACAUUUUGAAAGCCAAUGCAAGUAUUUGCUUUGCAGUUCCUGAUCCCUUAAUGCCUGACCCUUCCAAGCAACCAAAGAACCAGCUUAAUCCUAUUGGCUCAUUACAGGAAUUGGCUAUUCAUCAUGGCUGGAGACUUCCUGAAUAUACCCUUUCCCAGGAGGGAGGACCUGCUCAUAAGAGGGAAUAUACCACAAUUUGCAGGCUUGAGUCAUUCAUGGAAACUGGAAAGGGGGCAUCAAAGAAACAAGCCAAGAGAAAUGCUGCUGAGAAAUUUCUUGCCAAAUUCAGUAAUAUUUCUCCAGAGAACCACAUUUCUUUGACAAAUAUGGUAGGGCAUUCUUUAGGUUGUACUUGGCAUUCCUUAAGGAAUUCUCCUGGUGAAAAGAUCAACUUACUGAAAAGAAGCCUCCUCAGCAUUCCAAAUACAGAUUACAUCCAGCUGCUUAGUGAAAUUGCGAAGGAACAAGGUUUUAAUAUAACAUAUUUGGAUAUAGAUGGUGGUCUGCAAAGAAUCCCCUAAAGAAGCCUCCGCCACUCUCUCUUCCUGAGUCUGCUCCCUACAGAGCCCGACCUGAGAUACACAGUUAGAGUUCAAGGUGAAAAUAUAAUAAUAGGAAAAUAAGAUCAAUCAUGUUAUUUAUAUGUAAAAUUACAACUCUUACCUUUCUCUUUGGAUUAUAUAUCUUUUGCUUUUCAUUACUUUUUUUUUUUUUUUGACAGAUUUGUGUGGUUGGUGUAUGUAUUACUUCAGUGGCAGGGCAUACCUGAAUUUUGAAAAGACUUUUCUUUACAUCCAAAAGGAUAUAUAGGAAAUGAAACAGAAAUGAUCCUAAUUGGAGAACAAAGCCUACUGUGAGUAAGGCUACAUCUAGAUUAACACUGCACUUAAAGAGUCCAAGGACAGUUAAAAAUCAUGGAAGAGUCCAUAUGAGUUCUAAAAAGUAGAGAGAGACACCAACUCUGGAAGCUUGUUCGAACUUAUCAAUUCUAACCAUCUAUGGAGAACAAUGUGCAAUGAAUAUCUGGCAGCUCCUAUUCUGAGAGGUCAAAGUUGAUGGAUGCGUGUGCUGGUGGGCUUGUCUGAUCUGAGGCAAGAGGGGGCGCCAUGGAAAGAAGACCAGAAUAAGCUAGUUCUCCUUCCUGUGCUAAUCAGAGUGCAUGGACAACUGCAAUGCGUUUGUUGCAUUUUUUGCUAGUAGAUACAACUGAAAUUUGGAAAAAAUUUACAUGUAUCUCAGGGGGGGAAAAAUGGCAUAAGACAGAGGCAAACUAUUUUCAAGUACACAGGCUAAAACCAAAGAUAGGUGUGGACUUAAUGACACUCCAUUAUAAAUUUUUUUAUGAGAUGAAAAGUUAGAGCACUUGUAGGUGGUAGAUUAAACAUUAAGAAUUAGUAGAUUCAGUGCUAGAUGCUAUUACAGAUAUUUGUGUUCCUAUUCAUGAGCUUGUACCUUCAUUCCACUGCAAUCUCCUUCAUGGCCAGAUGGGUGUGUUACUGUACAGUAUUUAUUGAUUUGAAAUUCAGAAAUUGAUAGGAGUAUCACCUAUGCCUGAUUGCUUGGAGUGUGUUAAUUUUUGCUCUAUAUCUCUAAUGAAUAAAGAUUGAUUUCAAUGGCAAAAGAAAGCCUCUGCUCAGAUGCUCAGCCACGUCUGAC